rnacentral:rRNA from 1 species
UGAAUACGAGACGCUAAGGCGUUGAAGUAGUGUAUGUCAUACUUCCAAGAAAAGCUUGCACUGUCAUAGAUAAAAAACGCCUGUACCAUAACCGACACAGGUGGGUAGGUAGAGUAUACUAAGGGGCGCGAGAUAACUCUCUCUAAGGAACUCGGCAAAAUAACUCCGUAACUUCGGGAGAAGGAGUGCCUUAUUUAUAAGGCUGCAAUAACAAGAUCCAAGCAACUGUUUAUCAAAAACACAGGUCUCCGCUAAGUCGUAAGACGAUGUAUGGGGGCUGACGCCUGCCCAGUGCCAGAAGGUUAAAGAAGUUGGUUAGCAAUAGCGAAGCUGAUAACUGAAGCCCUGGUGAACGGCGGCCGUAACAAUAACGGUCCUAAGGUAGCGAAAUUCCUUGUCGGGUAAGUUCCGACCCGCACGAAAGGCGUAAUGAUUUGGAUACUGUCUCGGAGAGGGGCUCGGUGAAAUAGACUUGUCUGUGAAGAUGCGGACUACCUGCACCAGGACAGAAAGACCCUAUGAAGCUUUACUGUAACUUGAAAUUGAAAUUGGACUUUAUUCGCGCAGUAUAGGUGGGAGGCGUUGAUUGUAAUCUUGCGGGAUUAUUGGAGCCAUCAGUGAGAUACCACCCUUGUAAUGUUAGAUUUCUAACUUUGAAUCAUUAUCUGGUCAAAGAACAGUUUCAGGCGGGCAGUUUGACUGGGGCGGUCGCCUCCUAAACGGUAACGGAGGCGUACAAAGGUUUCCUCUGAACGGUUAGAAAUCGUAUCUAGAGUGUAAAGGCAUAAGGAAGCUUGACUGUGAGACCUACAAGUCGAGCAGGGACGAAAGUCGGUCUUAGUGAUCUGACGGUACUGAGUGGAAAGGCCGUCACUCAACGGAUAAAAGUUACUCUAAGGAUAACAGGCUGAUCUCCCCCAAGAGUUCACAUCGACGGGGAGGUUUGGCACCUCGAUGUCGGCUCAUCGCAUCCUGGGGCGGUAGUACGUCCCAAGGGUUGGGCUGUUCGCCCAUGAAAGCGGUACGCGAGCUGGGUUCAGAACGUCGUGAGACAGUUCGGUCCAUAUCCGGUGUAGGCGUUAGAAUAUUGAGAGGAGCCUUCUUUAGUACGAGAGGACCGAGGAGGACAUACCUCUGGUGUACCAGUUAUCGUGCCAACGGUAAACGCUGGGUAGCUAUGUAUGGAGUGGAUAACCGCUGAAAGCAUCUAAGUGGGAAGCCCACCUCAAGAUAAGUAUUCUCAC